CCUACGGGUGGCAGCAGUCGAGAAUCAUUCACAAUGGGGGAAACCCUGAUGGUGCGACGCCGCGUGGGGGAAUGCAGGUCUUCGGAUUGUAAACCCCUGUCAUGUGGGAGCAAAUUAAAAAGAUAGUACCACAAGAGGAAGAGACGGCUAACUCUGUGCCAGCAGCCGCGGUAAUACAGAGGUCUCAAGCGUUGUUCGGAAUCACUGGGCGUAAAGCGUGAGGAGUCUGUUUCGUAAGUCGUGUGUGAAAGGCGCGGGCUCAAACCGCGGACGGCACAUGAUACUGCGAGACUAGAGUAAUGGAGGGGGAACCGGAAUUCUUGGUGUAGCAGUGAAAUGCGUAGA
rnacentral:rRNA from 1 species